UCGGCUUGAAAACAUCAACAAAUCAACAAAAUUUCGUUGAGAAUGAAUUGUGCAAGAGCUCAAGUAUAAGCUUCUACAAGAAAGACAAAAUAUUUAGGUAUUUUCCAGCUGUUCAAAAUUGGAUUACCAUUUCACACGGAUCUGAAUAUAUGUACUUGGAAGAAAAUGAAUUGCUUAAGAAUGUCGAAUUUUACACGGUUCAGAAUUAAAUUUUUCUUUAAUCAUCUUGGAAAUUUUGCAAUUGAAAUCAGUCGAAGCAUUUGACAAAAAUACAAUUUUUGGGAUGAAGUUUGUGAGUCAGUGAUCCUAGUCAACCCAUUCAUCAAACAGUAGUUGUUUAAUUCAGUUCAGGCAAUUUGCCUUAAGGUUAUUGGCAGCUGGGACUUGAACAACCGGGUACAACUCACUCUUUCGUUGGUUACAUUGGCCAGGACGUGGAAUGGAUAGAAGA